rnacentral:rRNA from 1 species
AACACGUGAGCAACCUGCCCCUGACUCUGGGAUAAGCGGUGGAAACGCCGUCUAAUACCGGAUACGACCCGCCACCUCAUGGUGGAGGGUGGAAAGUUUUUCGGUCAGGGAUGGGCUCGCGGCCUAUCAGCUUGUUGGUGGGGUAACGGCCUACCAAGGCGAUUACGGGUAGCCGGCCUGAGAGGGCGACCGGCCACACUGGGACUGAGACACGGCCCAGACUCCUGCGGGAGGCAGCAGUGGGGAAUAUUGCGCAAUGGGCGAAAGCCUGACGCAGCGACGCCGCGUGGGGGAUGACGGCYUUCGGGUUGUAAACCUCUUUUACCACCAACGCAGGCUUCCAGUUCUCUGGAGGUUGACGGUAGGUGGGGAAUAAGGACCGGCUAACUACGUGCCAGCAGCCGCGGUAAUACGUAGGGUCCGAGCGUUGUCCGGAAUUAUUGGGCGUAAAGAGCUCGUAGGCGGCGUGUCGCGUCUGCUGUGAAAGACCGGGGCUUAACUCCGGUUCUGCAGUGGAUACGGGCAUGCUAGAGGUAGGUAGGGGAGACUGGAAUUCCUGGUGUAGCGGUGAAAUGCGCAGAUAUCAGGAGGAACACCGGUGGCGAAGGCGGGUCUCUGGGCCUUACCUGACGCUGAGGAGCGAAAGCAUGGGGAGCGAACAGGAUUAGAUACCCUGGUAGUCCAUGCCGUAAACGUUGGGCGCUAGGUGUGGGGACUUUCCACGGUUUCCGCGCCGUAGCUAACGCAUUAAGCGCCCCGCCUGGGGAGUACGGCCGCAAGGCUAAAACUCAAAGGAAUUGACGGGGGCCCGCACAAGCGGCGGAGCAUGUUGCUUAAUUCGACGCAACGCGAAGAACCUUACCAAGGUUUGACAUCACCCGUGGACUCGCAGAGAUGUGAGGUCAUUUAGUUGGCGGGUGACAGGUGGUGCAUGGCUGUCGUCAGCUCGUGUCGUGAGAUGUUGGGUUAAGUCCCGCAACGAGCGCAACCCUUGUUCCAUGUUGCCAGCACGUAAUGGUGGGGACUCAUGGGAGACUGCCGGGGUCAACUCGGAGGAAGGUGGGGAUGACGUCAAGUCAUCAUGCCCCUUAUGUCUUGGGCUGCAAACAUGCUACAAUGGCCGGUACAAUGGGCGUGCGAUACCGUAAGGUGGAGCGAAUCCCUAAAAGCCGGUCUCAGUUCGGAUUGGGGUCUGCAACUCGACCCCAUGAAGGUGGAGUCGCUAGUAAUCGCCGAACACG